GCUGGGGUGGCCGAACCUGGCUAAGGCGCAAGCCUGGAGAGCUUGUGGCGCUUACGCGCCGUAGGGGUUCAAAUCCCCUCCCCAGCG
rnacentral:tRNA from 1 species